UUUCCGUAGGUGAACCUGCGGAAGGAUCAUUCUUAAAUAACCUUUAUGCGAGUGCUUACGCUGACCCGCACCGUCGUGCACAUCCGAGUGCCUUCACUUAUAACCACCUCACCCCAACGUGUACUUCCGCGACUGUCUCCCUGUGGCCUGUUCGGAGGGAGGCUUACGUUUUCACAUUUCAUUUGUAUGCAGUUUAGAUUGUAUUUCUUGUUUUUGCGAACCCGCACUCAAUACCACUUUCAACAACGGAACUCUUGGCUCUCUCACCGAUAUACAACC
rnacentral:misc_RNA from 1 species